AGAAUCAACGCUGGCGGCGUGCCUAACACAUGCAAGUCGAACGCGAAAGGGGCGCAAGUCCUGAGUAGAGUGGCAAACGGGUGAGUAACACGUGGGUGACCUGCCUUCGAGUGGGGGAUAACGUUCCGAAAGGAACGCUAAUACCGCAUGACAUCCUGCGUUUGGAAACGCGGACAUCAAAGCUGGGGAUCGCAAGACCUGGCGCUUGGAGGAGGGCCCGCGCCUGAUUAGCUAGUUGGUAGGGUAACGGCCUACCAAGGCAACGAUCAGUA
rnacentral:rRNA from 1 species